ensembl:lncRNA
GGGCAGUGGCAUAAUCACAGCCACUGCAGCCUUGACCUCUCCAACUUAAGUGAUCCAUCCUGCCUCAGCCUCAUGAGUAGCUGGGAUCACAGGUGUGCACCACCACGCCCAGCUAAAUUUUGCAUUGUUUGUAAAGACGAGGCCUCACUAUGCUAACCACGCUGGUCUCGAACUCCUGGGCUCAAGUGAUCCUCCUGCCUUGGCCUACCAAAGUGUUAGGGUUAGAGAUGUGAGCCACUACACCCAGCUUAUAUGUCCUUUUAUUUCAUAAAAAACAAUUUAAGAUUAUCUGAUAUCAUACAUAUCCCAUAAAUGGUAGUCAUUAAUUUAAAAGUGAAUUUAUAAAGUAAGUCAAGAGAAGUUAAAAUUGCACAUGCAUUUUGUUUCUAAAAGCUGAGAUGUCUAUGCAUUUCCAGGUAUUGUAUAUUUGCAAAUACGUUGGGUUAGAAAUCAUCUUUAACAUUUUGUGUUAGUGUAAUAACAAUAUUAUCUAAUAUUAAUGCUACCAGAAUCCGGUUGCCUUUUCUGUGUAUCAAAAUUUAUCAUACUUUAUCCACUUACACUAGGUGAUUAAACAGAAUCUGCCCAAUUUAUUCUGCAGUAAAAUUAUUUUAAAACCUAUUUUUCCUGCUGACUCUUAGAAACUGCAGAAAGACAAAAACCAGUUUCAUCUCCAGUAAUAGUGUGAAACAAUUUCCUUCCAGUGGGACAGAAAUCUAGACAUAUUAGGGAAAGAUUUAAAUAUAAAGAAAAAUGUUUUGGCUGGAAAAAAAAAAAAAAAAAAAGCAAAACACACCAAAACACAAAAAGGAUUCAUUAAAGCAACAGAACAAAACCUAAUUUGGGACCCUAAAAAUUCUGGCGAUGCCACUGUAAUGAGGUUUCAUUAUCUGCUUCAGAGUAACAGUCUCUGAAAUUGUUAUUCUGCUACAUGCUGUAAAGAACUCCCAAAACUCAAAUGUAUCAGGAAAUGUAGAGGUUAAGUCUGACUACAAGAAGGCCAAAAUUGCACCAGCUUCCUAAGUGAAGAAUAAUAGAAUAAAACAUAGAGAGCAGAAAUAAAAUGAGGUGUAUCUGGAGAAUUUCAUGAUGAGCAUUUAGAUUUAGCAAUGCCCAAUGUCAUGCUGACACUGUUUGUCAUGACCUUGUCUGCAACUAGUAAUUUGGGGUUGUACAUUUUUUAAAUUUAAUUUUGAAUGUUCUUGCAUGUUUAGUACAUCUCUCUGCACUGCUAAAUUGUUUAUCUGCAUAAUAUAACUACACCAAUGUCAUUUAAUGUAUACACUAGUAUAGAAAUGUGUUUUUUUAUUAAGUAAAUGAAGUAUUUGCUGUGAAAAAAUGUAUUAUUUGUGGCCACCAUUUAUAUCUGUGUUCAUUUUCUGUGUGUAUAUGCGUGUGUAUUCGAAUCUCAAUUUUUCUUUUACUCUAGUUUAGAUUAAGACAUAUUUAGAUGAAAUUUUAAAAAUAGCAUUGGAAAUAGGAAACUAAGUUUUGUUGAGUCUCAUUCCCUUGGGGGGAAAUAUGUUUUCAACUGAGUUGUUUGAAAUCAUUCCCUCUGUGUAAAUUUUCCAGACUGAUGUUUCAUUGUAAGAAUAUUACAUUAUAGACCACUUGGCCAUUUCACAAGCAAUUAAUCCAUAGUUUUGGAAGUCCACUUUAAGAGACCUGAAUAUCUUUGUUUUUAAUAAAAUACUUAGAGUUUAACU